GGGGGUGAAUGGACUCGACCUAAAAGGCGAUGCGAAAAGGAGCAUGCCGAGGAUGUGAGUUGCCUGCGAUAGUGGUACUUGCAAAAAAUUAAAUGCAGAAAACACAUUUAAUACCACUCCUGCUUACGCUGUAAGUUAAGGAGGCUCUUCUACUUUUCUGCCUCGGAAAGUAUAAGAGUUCAUUUA
rnacentral:tmRNA from 1 species